rnacentral:rRNA from 1 species
UACGUAGGGUGCAAGCGUUGUCCGGAAUUAUUGGGCGUAAAGAGCUCGUAGGCGGUUUGUCGCGUCUGCUGUGAAAACCCGAGGCUCAACCUCGGGCCUGCAGUGGGUACGGGCAGACUAGAGUGCGGUAGGGGAGAUUGGAAUUCCUGGUGUAGCGGUGGAAUGCGCAGAUAUCAGGAGGAACACCAAUGGCGAAGGCAGAUCUCUGGGCCGUAACUGACGCUCAUGCACGAAAGCGUGGGGAGCAAACAGG